AGCUGGUGAGGAGGACCAACGCAGUGAAGUGGCUGUACGCGUCACAUUUCCCCCAACCUUCGAUGCUUAUUCCUCAGCCGAUAACCAGGAUGUCAUAUCCUUUCUACGCUGUCAGGCCACAGAUUCACGCAUACCUUCCUCGCCUUCCUCUCCUGUACCACGCUGAUCCAGUAGAUAGGCUGGCACUGCG